rnacentral:rRNA from 1 species
UACAGAGACUGCAAGCGUUAUUCGGAUUCACUGGGCGUAAAGGGUGCGCAGGCGGUUGUGUGUGUCAGGUGUGAAAGCCCGGAGCUUAACUCCGGAAUUGCGCCUGAAACUACAUGACUAGAGCAUUGGAGAGGGUAGCGGAAUUCACGGUGUAGCAGUGAAAUGCGUAGAUAUCGUGAGGAACACCAGAGGCGAAGGCGGCUACCUGGACAAUUGCUGACGCUCAGGCACGAAAGCGUGGGGAGCAAAAGGGAUUAGAAACCCCCGUAGUCC